UGGGGAAUAUUGCACAAUGGGGGAAACCCUGAUGCAGCGACGCCGCGUGAGCGAAGAAGGUUUUCGAAUCGUAAAGCUCUGUCCUAUGGGAAGAUAAUGACGGUACCAUAGGAGGAAGCCCCGGCUAACUACGUGCCAGCAGCCGCGGUAAUACGUAGGGGGCUAGCGUUGUCCGGAAUCACUGGGCGUAAAGGGUUCGCAGGCGGAAAUGCAAGUCAGGUGUAAAAGGCAGUAGCUUAACUACUAAGCAUUUGAAACUGCAUAUCUUGAGAAGAGUAGAGGUAAGUGGAAUUUUUAGUGUAGCGGUGAAAUGCGUAGAUAUUAAAAAGAAUACCGGUGGCGAAGGCGACUUACUGGGCUCAUUCUGACGCUGAGGAACGAAAGCGUGGGUAGCAAACAGG
rnacentral:rRNA from 1 species